rnacentral:ncRNA from 1 species
AAGUUGAAUCUUGGUGGGGAAUAAUGUGAAAAUCAUUAACUGUUCCUGCAACGGUAAUAACUUAAUAAAUGUUAAAGUCCGAGUGCCGCCCAACUUAGUCCUUUGUUGAAUGAAGGCCAGGAAAAGUCUAGUUCUACGAUGAAAAA